CACGCGCAGGCAUGGUCGCACGCACACACACAGACUCAUUGGUGUGCCACACCCACCUUCACACCCAAUACCUCCACAGGAGCUGCAUUUCAGCCUGAAAAUCAGUUCAACCUCUCAGCUUCACACAGCCUUUAGAGCAGGGGUGUCAAACUCAGUUCCAACACACCUGAUUCAAAUGAUCGGGCUCGUUAUCAGGCUUCUGCUGAGCUUGAUGAUGAGCUGAUUAUUUGAAACAGGUGUGUUGGAAGAGGGAAACAUCUAAAACAUAGAGGAUAGUGGACCUCCAGGAACUGAGUUUGACACCCCUGCUUUAGAGUAACUCCAAUCCAAAUGUUGACCAGGUGAGAUCUUCAUGUCUUUCCCUUUCAAAAUAAAAGCACAGCACAAUUUCAAAAUAAAAGCCUGUGAUGGGCCUGAAAACACCAGUUAAACCUCUCAGCUUCACACAGCCUUUACAAUAACUCCAAUCCAAAUUUUGACCAGGUGAGAUCUCCCUGUCUCUGCCUUUCAAAAUAAAAGCACAGCACAAUUUCUAAAUAAAAGCCUGCGAUGGGCCUGAAAACACCAGUUAAACCUCUCAGCUUCACACAGCCUUUACUCCAAUCCAAAGUUUAACCAGGUCUGAUCUUCCUGUCUCUGCCUUUCAAAAUAAAAGCACAGCACAAUUUCAAAAUAAAAGCCUGCAACAGACCAAAAAAUGCCAGUUAAACCUCUCAGCUUCACACAGCCUUGAGAGUAACUCCAAUCCAAAUUUUGACCAGGUGAGAUCUUCUUGUCUCUGCCUUUCAAAAUAAAAGCACAGCACAAUUUCAAAAUAAAAGCCUAUGACGGACCAAAAAAUAACCCUCUCCUGCCCAGCUCCGGACAUGCACACAUCCCGAGCCCCUCCCACGAUUUCCGCGAGCGGGAAUUGUCUAGUCUUUUAUUCACGUUUCCGCCGUUUUUCGGUCGCUAACUAGUCCUAGGGCUUUGAGAAAACCAAAACAAAUUAUAUAUCAAAACGUGCGGCUUCAUCGGGAAUAGUGUGCUAUGACUUUUCUAAGACAUUCGUCAUUUUUUCGCAGAAUUAUUCGCAAAAAACUGCGAAAAAAGUCCCAUAGAAAAUGAAU